rnacentral:rRNA from 1 species
UACAGAGGGGGCAAGCGUUGUUCGGAAUUACUGGGCGUAAAGGGCGCGUAGGCGGCCCGCUAAGUCGAACGUGAAAUCCCCAGGCUUAACCUGGGAACUGCGUCCGAUACUGGCAGGCUUGAAUCCGGGAGAGGGAUGUGGAAUUCCAGGUGUAGCGGUGAAAUGCGUUGAUAUCUGGAGGAACACCGGUGGCGAAGGCGGCAUCCUGGACCGGCAUUGACGCUGAGGCGCGAAAGCUAGGGGAGCAAACGGG